GAUGAACGCUAGCGGCAGGCUUAACACAUGCAAGUCGAGGGGUAACAGGGGAAAGCUUGCUUUUUUGCUGACGACCGGCGCACGGGUGAGUAACGCGUAUAGAACCUACCUUUUACAGGGGAAUAGCCCAGAGAAAUUUGGAUUAAUACCCUAUAGUAUUAUUGAGUGGCAUCAUUUAAUAAUUAAACAUUUAUGGGUAAAAGAUGGCUAUGCGUUCUAUUAGCUAGAUGGUAAGGUAACGGCUUACCAUGGCAACGAUAGAUAGGGGUCCUGAGAGGGAGAUCCCCCACACUGGUACUGAGACACGGACCAGACUCCUACGGGAGGCAGCAGUGAGGAAUAUUGGACAAUGGAGGCAACUCUGAUCCAGCCAUGCCGCGUGCAGGAAGACGGCCCUAUGGGUUGUAAACUGCUUUUAUACGGGAAGAAACCCAACUACGUGUAGUUGGUUGACGGUACCGUAAGAAUAAGCACCGGCUAACUCCGUGCCAGCAGCCGCGGUAAUACGGAGGGUGCAAGCGUUAUCCGGAAUCAUUGGGUUUAAAGGGUCCGUAGGCGGGCUAAUAAGUCAGGGGUGAAAUCCAACAGCUUAACUGUUGAACUGCCUUUGAUACUGUUAGUCUUGAAUUAUAUGGAAGUAGAUAGAAUGUGUAGUGUAGCGGUGAAAUGCUUAGAGAUUACACAGAAUACCGAUUGCGAAGGCAGUCUACUACGUAUAUAUG
rnacentral:rRNA from 1 species